rnacentral:misc_RNA from 1 species
GUGAUUAUAAGACCAGAUGCUUGGUUUUUCUGUUGGAAGAGUUUACUUGUGCUUAUGGCUUGUGUCUCUUAUGUGGCUCUCUCUUUAGCUGUCUACAUUGUUGAACUUGGUGGGUAGAAUACAAUGCUUAGGUGUUGAGCGAAAUGUUUGAUAGUGGCAUUAACUAAUAACCUGUGGGUUCCUUAAUACAAAAAAACCAAGCAUCUGGUCUUAUAAUCAC